AGUGAACGCUGGCGGUAGGCCUAACACAUGCAAGUCGAACGGCAGCACAGUAAGAGCUUGCUCUUACGGGUGGCGAGUGGCGGACGGGUGAGGAAUACAUCGGAAUCUACUUUUUCGUGGGGGAUAACGUAGGGAAACUUACGCUAAUACCGCAUACGACCUACGGGUGAAAGCAGGGGAUCUUCGGACCUUGCGCGAUUGAAUGAGCCGAUGUCGGAUUAGCUAGUUGGCGGGGUAAAGGCCCACCAAGGCGACGAUCCGUAGCUGGUCUGAGAGGAUGAUCAGCCACACUGGAACUGCGACACGGUCCAGACUCCUACGGGAGGCAGCAGUGGGGAAUAUUGGACAACGGGCGCAAGCCUGAUCCAGCCAUACCGCGUGGGUGAAGAAGGCCUUCGGGUUGUAAAGCCCUUUUGUUGGGAAAGAAAAGCAGCAGGUUAAUACCCCGCUGUUCUGACGGUACCCAAAGAAUAAGCACCGGCUAACUUCGUG
rnacentral:rRNA from 1 species